rnacentral:rRNA from 1 species
GCAUAUCAUAAGCGGAGGAAAAGAAACCAACCGGGAUUGCCUAGUAACGGCGAGUGAAGCGGCAAGAGCUCAAAUUUGAAAGCUGGCUCCUUCGGGGUCCGCAUUGUAAUUUGCAGAGGAUGCUUCGGGAGCGGUCCCCAUCUAAGUGCCCUGGAACGGGCCGUCAUAGAGGGUGAGAAUCCCGUAUGGGAUGGGGUGCCCGCGCCCGUGUGAAGCUCCUUCGACGAGUCGAGUUGUUUGGGAAUGCAGCUCUAAUUGGGUGGUAAAUUUCAUCUAAAGCUAAAUAUUGGCCGGAGACCGAUAGCGCACAAGUAGAGUGAUCGAAAGAUGAAAAGCACUUUGAAAAGAGAGUUAAACAGCACGUGAAAUUGUUGAAAGGGAAGCGCUUGCGAUCAGACUCGCUCGCGGGGUUCAGCCGGCCUUCGGGCCGGUGUACUUCCCCGCGAGCGGGCCAGCGUCGGUUUGGGCGGCCGGUCAAAGGCCCCUGGAAUGUAACGCCUCUCGGGGCGUCUUAUAGCCAGGGGUGCCAUGCGGCCUGCCCGGACCGAGGAACGCGCUUCGGCUCGGACGCUGGCAUAAUGGUCGUAAGCGACCCGUCUUGAAACACGGACCAAGGAGUCUAACAUCUACGCGAGUGUUCGGGUGUCAAACCCGUGCGCGCAGUGAAAGCGAACGGAGGUGGGAACCCCUCGGGGUGCACCAUCGACCGAUCCUGAUGUCUUCGGAUGGAUUUGAGUAAGAGCGUAGCUGUUGGGACCCGAAAGAUGGUGAACUAUGCCUGAAUAGGGCGAAGCCAGAGGGAAACUCUGGUGGAGGCUCGCAGCGGGUUCUGACGUGCAAAUCGAUCGUCAAAUUUGGGUAUAGGGGCCGAAAGACUAAUCGAAACCAUCUAGUAGCUUGCUCUGCCGGAG